GGAGUCGGCCGGGUGAUCGCGAUCUUGUCUCUGCGGUGAUCGUUUUGCGUUGGUCGCGGUAUAAGAUCGAGGAAAGUCCGGGCUCCGAAGGGCAGGGUGCCAGAUAACUUCUGGGCGGUGCGAACCGACGGAUAGUGCCACAGAAAAGAUACCGCCAACUAAAUUAGUUGGUAAGGGUGAAAAGGUGCGGUAAGAGCGCACCGCGUUGGUGGUAACGCCAGCGGCAGGGCAAACCCCACCUGGAGCAAGACCAAAUAGAAAUCCUAUCGUGUUGCCCGCGCGGGAUUCGGGUAGGUCGCUCGAGAUGUGUGGUGACAUGCAUCCAAGAGGAAUGAUCACUCUCGACAGAACCCGGCUUAUAGGCCGACUCCCAUA
rnacentral:RNase_P_RNA from 1 species